GGUGAACGCUGGCGGUAGGCCUAACACAUGCAAGUCGAACGGCAGCACAGUAAGAGCUUGCUCUUACGGGUGGCGAGUGGCGGACGGGUGAGGAAUACAUCGGAAUCUACUUUUUCGUGGGGGAUAACGUAGGGAAACUUACGCUAAUACCGCAUACGACCUACGGGUGAAAGCAGUGGAUCUUCGGACCUUGCGCGAUUGAAUGAGCCGAUGUCGGAUUAGCUAGUUGGCGGGGUAAAGGCCCACCAAGGCGACGAUCCGUAGCUGGUCUGAGAGGAUGAUCAGCCACACUGGAACUGAGACACGGUCCAGACUCCUACGGGAGGCAGCAGUGGGGAAUAUUGGACAAUGGGCGCAAGCCUGAUCCAGCCAUGCCGCGUGGGUGAAGAAGGCCUUCGGGUUGUAAAGCCCUUUUGUUGGGAAAGAAAAGCAGCAGGUUAAUACCCCGCUGUUCUGACGGUACCCAAAGAAUAAGCACCGGCUAACUUCGUG
rnacentral:rRNA from 1 species